GCCGGAAAGGGCAGUGAGGCUUUGCCAGGAAAUGGCGUAGUAGGGGUGCAGCUUUGGGACCAGGAACUCCAGUUGGAAAGAUCAAGGACAAGUGCCAAAUACAGGAAGAAAGGGAGUCAUUUUGCCAGAAAUUGUGCCAAGAUUUUCAUAAAGUAAAUUAAAUCCUGGAGAUGUUCCAGAAGACAAUCAGAGUUUGGCUAUGUGACCAUCAGCAACAAUAGUGGUGAAUAUAAAGUGAGGAAAGGCCUUCAAGAUUUGAAGUUUUUUCCAAGUGGGAUGAUGACAUGAAAGGAAAACUGCAUGAACCAUUAGUAAACAG